rnacentral:misc_RNA from 1 species
GGGUGCUCAAGCUCAACAGUCAUUGUGAGUAUUCCUCACUUUAUAUGCUCUUCGUGAUCUCAGGGGGAGUUGCUUAGCGUCUACUACUAGAAUUUUCCAUACAUAUUCCAACACUGUUGUGGGAAAAACCAUCUUGAAAAUGUAGAUCCAAUGUGACAGUUAUAACUUCAUAGGUUCAAUUACUGACAGUUUCUUUUAAUUAAUCGUCUUAUGGGUUUAUAAGACAUGUCCAUUCUGUUUCAAUUAUUAAAAUAAUCCUUUCAGAAAAACUUUUAGUUUGCUAUGUAGUGCUGAUUGUCAUAAAGGCUGAAAUCAGGAAGUCAAAAUGAGCCUGCCAACACAUCUAGCAUAUUUCUUAAGAUGAGCAUGUCAGAAAUUAUAUCGCGGAGACAUGAAAUUCAGAGAGAUUGAUGAUGCAUAUCAAAACAAUUAGAAACAUGCAUCAAAGGCCAAAUUGCAUAGAGCAUAGUGAUUCCAUUCUCUUCCUCACCACCCACAACACAAACCACC